rnacentral:rRNA from 1 species
UGUAAGCGUAUACCAAAGUUGUUGCAGUUAAAACGCUCGUAGUCGGAAUUUGGCAGUUCCGGAUGUGUGCACGUCGUGUGCGCACUUCGCGGGGAUUGCUUUUGUGGUCUUGCGUAGGAUGAGGCACUUUUAUUAGUGAACGUCCUCACGCAACCACUUUUUACUGUGAGAAAAUCAGAGUGCUCAAAGCAGGCAUUUGCCGUGAAUGUAUUAGCAUGGAGUAAUAGAAUAGGACUUGGUUCUAUUUUGUUGGUUUGUCGGGACUGAGUAAUGAUUAAGAGGGACAGUUGGGGGCAUUUGUAUUUCGGUGCUAGAGGUGAAAUUCUUAGAUUACCGAAAGACAAACUGCUGCGAAAGCGUCUGCCAAGGAUGUUUUCAUUGA